UCCAGCUUAUCGCUGGCGGUCUCCUGCGAGUGCCCAACUAAAUGAUGGCAACACAGGACAAGGGUUGCGCUCGUUGCGGGACUUAACCCAACAUCUCACGACACGAGCUGACGACAGCCAUGCAGCACCUCGACUCAAGUCUCUUGCGAGAAGUCCCUGUUUCCAAGGAAUGUCUUAAGCCGUUCGAGCCCAGGUAAGGUUCUUCGCGUUGCGUCGAAUUGAACCACAUGCUCCACCGCUUGUGCGGGCCCCCGUCAAUUCCUUUGAGUUUCAGCCUUGCGACUGUACUCCCCAGGCGGCAUAUUUAACGCGUUAGCUCCGGCACGGACAGAAUGAACUGCCCACACCAAAUAUGCAUCGUUUAGGGCGUGGACUAC
rnacentral:misc_RNA from 1 species